CCGCGGCCGGCCGCCGCCUGGCCGCCUACGUGUGCCUGCUGUGCGCGCUCACCCCCGCGGCCGCGCUGGCCUGGCUGAUCCGCAGGAGGAGCCUCUAGGCGACAGGGGCGCUGGCCGGAGCGGGGAGCAGGCGGGACGCGCAACAGGGAAUCCAGAGCCUGAGCAGCAGCUGUGAAGAGUGGAGAUAAAGAAAGAAGUGGAAGAUGUUGGAAGUGCUUUGGGCAACGUGAAGAAGGAUUUGCACUGAAGGAGCUGUUCAAGGGCCCAGCAGCAAAACAGAGACACAUAAAUGCUUAUAUAUAGAAGAAUGUAAACCCUCCUGUAUGCAUACGUUAAAA